rnacentral:rRNA from 1 species
AACGAACGCUGGCGGCAGGCCUAACACAUGCAAGUCGAGCGCCCCAGCGAUGGGGAGCGGCGGACGGGUGAGUAACGCGUGGGAACGUACCCUUUGCUACGGAAUAGCCUCGGGAAACUGGGAGUAAUACCGUAUGCGCCCUUCGGGGGAAAGAUUUAUCGGCAAAGGAUCGGCCCGCGUUGGAUUAGGUAGUUGGUGGGGUAAUGGCCUACCAAGCCGACGAUCCAUAGCUGGUUUGAGAGGAUGAUCAGCCACACUGGGACUGAGACACGGCCCAGACUCCUACGGGAGGCAGCAGUGGGGAAUCUUAGACAAUGGGCGCAAGCCUGAUCUAGCCAUGCCGCGUGAGCGAGUGAAGGCCCUUAGGGUUGUAAAGCUCUUUCAGGGGAGAAGAUAAUGACUGUACCCCCAGAAGAAG